GACCUAAUGCAGUGUGACACUCUUGCCC
rnacentral:sRNA from 1 species